rnacentral:rRNA from 1 species
GAUGAACGCUGGCGGCGUGCCUAAUACAUGCAAGUCGAGCGAACGGACGAGAAGCUUGCUUCUCUGAUGUUAGCGGCGGACGGGUGAGUAACACGUGGAUAACCUACCUAUAAGACUGGGAUAACUUCGGGAAACCGGAGCUAAUACCGGAUAAUAUUUUGAACCGCAUGGUUCAAAAGUGAAAGACGGUCUUGCUGUCACUUAUAGAUGGAUCCGCGCUGCAUUAGCUAGUUGGUAAGGUAACGGCUUACCAAGGCAACGAUGCAUGGCCGACCUGAGAGGGGGAUCGGCCACUCUGGAGCUGAGACACGGUCCAGACUCCUACGGGAGGCAGCAGUAGGGAAUCUUCCGCAAUGGGCGAAAGCCUGACGGAGCAACGCCGCGUGAGUGAUGAAGGGCUUCGGAUCGUAAAACGCUGUUAUUAGGGAAGAACAUAUGUGUAAGUAACUGUGCACAUCUGGACGGUACCUAAUCAGAAAGCCACGGCUAACUACGU